AAGAAGAUGGGGGCACCAGCCGCCACUCUCCUAGUCGCCAGAUGAUAAGGGAGCAGAGGCCACCCGCCCCGUUCCGAACCACCAGAACCGAACGGGCCUUGUCCCGCUCAGAUCUGCUACCAUGAGAGGGGAGAGGGAGCUGGGUAUGGGUUGGGGCGGUGGUGCCCUGUGAGGGAGGGGAGAGGUGGCCUCACCGGGCGCUUGGGCUUCGCCAGAUGCGAGCGUCGCCGCCGCCGCUCAGAUCGGGAGAGAAAGAGAUAAGGGAGAGAGAUAGCUGUGGUGUUUUUUUCAAGUGGACGGUGUAUUAGGAGGUGGGUUGUGGGGGCGCGCGGCAUGAAAAUUCGG
rnacentral:rRNA from 1 species